rnacentral:lncRNA from 1 species
UUCUAGUAAAUAACAAUUCUCGAUAAAGAAUUAUAAAAAGAAAAAUUCUGUGCAAUAAUGAUAGUCAAUGCGGUAGUGUCUUUGCAAGAAACAAAUAAAAAAAGAAAAUAUAAUAUCUUCAAAUAAACUCUAGUAAUUUCUACAAUGAAAAAAAAACCAUAAAAAUGUCUUCAAACUACUCCUUGAGCUUCAUCACUUGCUCGUUCUUGAAGUAUUUUGCCCUAACUGUUGAAAAAAAUUGAACAUCAUUAAUGCAUGUGACUAUAAUAAAUAAAAAAAUUAUCACAAAAAAUUAUUAAAUGAGGUGCCAUAACUACCUGAAAACAAUAGCUCAAUCAAUAGAGAAUAAGUAUAGCAUUAAUCUGAAUCUUUACAAUAUUUAACUAAAUAGGAAUGCAGAACAAUGUCAAAGCAUGAACUUGUUACAAAUUUGGAUCUCUUUAUCUGUAAGCAUAUAUUAAAGUCAUAUCCUUUUUUCUUCCCCGGAAUCAUCCCAAUGAUUUAGAAUCCUUAAAAAUUCAUCAAGAUAUUAUUCAUUUUUCUUUCCUAUCAUUCUAAAUCACAAAACAAAAGCAUAGUUUAAAGAGUACCUUUUGCGUUGCGACCAUCCAUUUAGUCAUCUGGGCUUUUAUUGUUUUGUCGACUUGUAACCUCAUGUAUGCACGCUCCUCUUCUAGUUUACUUUGUAACUCAACAGUCAUUUUUUCACGUUCUUCUUGCAUUUUGCUAUCAAUUUCACAACUUGCACACUAUCCGGCCGCCAAUUCAAACAGAGGAAAAAAAGCAUAACUCGAUAAGUUAUAGACGAUGAAGUGCAAUCUGACCACUUAGAAUAUCAUGUCUUCAGCGGGGUAGACUAUUAGUAAAUUAUAUGAAAUAAAGAGUUGGAUUUCUCAAAUAAUUACUCAAUUAGAGUAUUAAAAAGUUAGAGAUUUG